rnacentral:rRNA from 1 species
AGUCAAGUAAUUAAGUGCAUGUGGUGGAUGCCUUGGCAGUCAGAGGCGAUGAAAGACGUGAUAGCCUGCGAAAAGCUCCGGGGAGGCGGCAAAUAUCCUUUGAUCCGGAGAUGUCUGAAUGGGGGAACCCACCUACUUUAAGGUAGGUAUUGCAACAUGAAUACAUAGUGUUGCAAGGCGAACGAGGGGAAGUGAAACAUCUCAGUACCCUUAGGAAAAGAAAUCAAUUGAGAUUCCCUCAGUAGCGGCGAGCGAACGGGGAUCAGCCCAUUAAGUUAUGUGUGUUUUAGUGGAACGCUCUGGGAAGUGCGAACGUAGAGGGUGAUAUUCCCGUACACGAAAGGGCACACAUAAUGAUGACGAGUAGGGCGAGGCACGUGAAACCUUGUCUGAAUAUGGGGGGACCAUCCUCCAAGGCUAAAUACUCCUGACUGACCGAUAGUGAACCAGUACCGUGAGGGAAAGGCGAAAAGAACC